GACGAACGCUGGCGGCGUGCCUAAUACAUGCAAGUAGAACGCUGAAGGAGGAGCUUGCUUCUCCGGAUGAGUUGCGAACGGGUGAGUAACGCGUAGGUAACCUGCCUGGUAGCGGGGGAUAACUAUUGGAAACGAUAGCUAAUACCGCAUAAGAGUAGAUGUCGCAUGACAUUUGCUUAAAAGGUGCAACUGCACCACUACCAGAUGGACCUGCGUUGUAUUAGCUAGUUGGUGAGGUAACGGCUCACCAAGGCAACGAUACAUAGCCGACCUGAGAGGGUGAUCGGCCACACUGGGACUGAGACACGGCCCAGACUCCUACGGGAGGCAGCAGUAGGGAAUCUUCGGCAAUGGACGGAAGUCUGACCGAGCAACGCCGCGUGAGUGAAGAAGGUUUUCGGAUCGUAAAGCUCUGUUGUAAGAGAAGAACGAGUGUGGGAGUGGAAAGUUCACACUGUGACGGUAUCUUACCAGAAAGGGACGGCUAACUACGUG
rnacentral:rRNA from 1 species